rnacentral:lncRNA from 1 species
CUGGAGUGUGAGAGGGGUAUCAUUGGAGAGGGCUCCUCUGGUGGCAUCUGUUGUAAACCACUGGGAAUUCUGAAGCUCUAGAAAGGUCCCUGAUGGGAUCUGACACUCCUGCCAAAAGCAAGAGUGUCUCUAGACCUCCAGAUGGGAUUUGGCCUAGGAGUGUAGGAAAAGACUUCUCCCACCCCAGAUUUCCAUGUCUGCAGAAACUGUUCAAGACCUCUAACUACAACUUUGCUUUCUCCUCUUCACUGCUUUUAAUUCAGACCUGCUCCUAAGUAUCCACACCACGUGCCCAGACCCACCCACAGCGCCUAUCCUCAGUGAGGAGCAAGCUGACACCUUCGUUCAACAGUGAAGACAGAAGUUUGCACUAUCUUUCAACUCCACGUGGAGUGACUUUUUGUACCAACUUUUAGAAUUUUUUUUUAAUAUGUUUAAAACACCAUUAUUUCAAGAACUUUGAGCUACUGCCGUCGGUGCUGUGCUAUGGUGCUCUGUGUAUUCGCUCAGGUACUUGUAAAUUAUUAAUUUAUGCAGAAUGUUUAUUGCAGUGCAGUGCACUGUACUAGGCAUUUUUACCAUCACUGAGUUUUCCAUGGAAGGAAGGCUUGUUGUGCUUUUAAUAUUUUAGUGAACUUGAAAUAUCCUGCUUGAUGGGAUUCUGGACCAGAUGUUUACUUUCUGAUCAGGCUUUAUUAGAAAGCAGUUGCUAAUUCCCCACGGCUGUGUUAAUGGUACCAGACACAACUCAGGACCCCUGGUAGAACCUUGAGUGGUUUUCUGAAACUCCUAGGCCAGGGCUGCACUGGGCCUUCAGUGAGGCCCUCGGUGCCUACACGCUGACAAGCCCCUAGCAGCUGGACUUUGGAGCAGUGAAUGACCUGGUUUGGGGCCAGGAAGCUUUGGAGAGAACCUGGGUUGCAGACAGGAAUUUUGAGGUGUGGCCACACCAGGACAGAGCCUGGAACACUAGGCCAGGCAGAAACUUGACCUUGAGCUGAGCCGCCAUGGGUCCCUUUGGAAAGCAAACAAGGAAGAAGUCUGCAGGAUUGCUCAAGGUUUUCUUUAUAGAAACAUCAAGAACUUCUUUCUCUGGCUGCUCUUUAUGCAGUUCUGGCAUCAGCACAUUAUUUAGAUUGGGAACGGUGGUGUUUCUACAAGAAGGCCACCGCCCCAGCACUGCAAACCACCAUCUCCCUGUGCUGUUUGGAGCUAAGCAAAUUACCACCUUGUCUUCUCAACUGUAAUAUGAUGACCCUGUGUUCAGACAGAUAGAUGAGGCUUUCCAUGGGACCAUAAUUCUUUUCAGAUGUGAACUAGUAACCAGAUCUAGUCAAUCAAUUCUUUAGAUAAAAAUCUCCUUUUACUGCAAGGUUCAACUUAUUAAAAAUUAGGCAGAAACAACUACUAAAUGGAAUGCCUUGCUCAUUGGCACAGACUGUCUGGGCUGCCUUAUUAGUACGUAGUGGACAAAGAACCACAAGUGACCAUGAAGUUCUCUCUAGGGCACCCUAUUUUCUCAGCUAGGCAGCUGGAAUCUUAAACAUUUGCAACCUACCUGUAGAGCAUCACAAGGUAUGAUCAGAAAACCAAUUUCCUAACCCUGUAUUUUCACCAAAGGCCAGCUGGGGCAAGCAGCCCCUCCAAACAUUUCACUCUCCCAGUGUCUCAUUUCCUAGGAUGUUUAAGAUGCCUGGAUCUAAUAGCAUGAAAAAUACUCAGAUAAGGCAAAAAUGCCAUUCUGGCCCUCACUGUCUUCUGUGAGAUCAUGAAUGACUAGUUUUCACAUUAGAAGGCAAUUGACAGCAGUUCCGUAAUUCACUGAGUGUUUCAUGAUGAGACUUCUUUUAGGGUCAUUUCAAUGGUUUUCCUAUGCCUUGAAGCAGAAAGAAAAAUACAUACCAGGAAUCUUGGUUUGCCUUCCAGAAAACGAAACUACAUUUAACUGUGCCAAUGUUCUCCCCAUAUAUCUAGGCAACGUGGUAUUCAUGACUAUGAAUAAAUAAAUGUCACAAACACACAAAAGGUAACCCAACUCAAAGACAUUCCAACUCUUGCAGCAUGCAUAUGUUUUAAUAAACAGAUGCAAUUAUUUUCUUUAAAAAGUAAAGCCAUGUUAGAUGAUAUUACUGUGGAUGAGAUACAUACAGGAUUAUUGUAACUAACUGAUGUUACAUUUAGUAAUUGUGUCAAGGCCAAAACACACACUAUUGAAAAGUUUACAGAAUUUCCUGGUGUGGACAUUGCUGCCUUCUCGCCCACGCCUCAGCUCCGGCACUUUCACCCUCCUCCUACUACACGGAGCAGGGAGGAUGGGAACUGCCUUUUCUGUUUUUGUUCUUUCUGAACUGUAAUUACUGUGCUUUUGUUCCAGAGAACCAGGAAGAGUUUGGUAUUAAAGGAGGUUAAAACUGAUCUUCUGCCAUGUCAUCAAUGGCCACUUUGUGGUUAUGGCUGAUGACACAAUUUUAUCUCAAUACUAAUUGCUUUUAUAGAGCCAUGCAAAUUAUUUCUGAAUAAGAAUAUAUUUAAGCCUUAUAAUACACAGAUAAUAUUAUUAAAGGAAUACUUUCAAAAUUCAAUAUUUAUCAAAUAAAGCAUAUUUAGCAAUAACUUCCAUUUUAAUGUAACUUAGGAACCAAUAACUAGGGUUGUUUUUUUCUUGGUGGGAAGGGUUUUCUCUCACUUUUUAUAAACAAUGGGAACAAAAAUCAGUACUUCUAUUUUAGUGGCAAUAUGACUAUUCUUUAAUAUUUCUAAAAUACUUCACAGGGACAAAUAACAGUUAUUGUGAGUUUUAUAAAACCAUUACUGAGAAAGUUCAGUGCCUAAACUCAAAAGCAGGCUGGAAGGCUACUCACCUUUCUUCCUACAUCCAGCCAGGGCUGCAGGUUACAGGGCCCCACUCCACGGAGAGGUGCAUGGCCAACCUUCCAGGCAUUCCAUUUAUCUGCUAAAAUGUUCUUGUUUUCCCAAUACAUUGAACCAGACUGUGGCAACCAAGAGAAACAAUGCCUAGUGUUGUCCAUUGUCCCAGUGGGACUUCCCCAGCGUACACAUAUAGAUNGGACAGUCUGGCCCAGCUUCCCUUGGCUGGGA